CUAUCCUUCCGCCGUCGCUGCAAAAUCAGCGGCCGGGCUUGGUAACCCGACGA
rnacentral:ncRNA from 1 species